rnacentral:ncRNA from 1 species
GGGUACCGCUGUCAUCCUCUUCUCAACGUUCGGUAUAAACGUUGAGGUAGUGA